GGAUAAUAAAGACAAGAUGAGUUAUGCCGGGACAGGUGACCAACUUGAAGUUUAACGGCCGCGGUAUAUUGACCGUGCUAAGGUAGCGCAAUCACUUGUCUUUUGAUGGAGACCUGUAUGAAUGGCACGACGAGGGCUUAACUGUCUCCUCUUUCAAGUCAAUGAAAUUGAUCUCUCCGUGCAGAAGCGGAGAUAAUAUCAUAAGACGAGAAGACCCUAUGGAGCUUUAGACACCAAAGCAGAUUACGUUAACACACUCAAAUUUAAUGGCCCAAACAAAAUUCUUACUGCCCUAUUGUCUUCGGUUGGGGCGACCACGGAGAUACAUUUAACCCCCGCGCGGAACGGGAUUACCCUUCCCUAAGCUAAUAGCGUCCGCUCUAAGCAACAGAUAUUCUGACCUUCAUAUCCGGACAACCCGAUCAACGGACCAAGUUACCCUAGGGAUAACAGCGCAAUUUCCUUUUAGAGUCCAUAUCGACAAGGGGGUUUACGACCUCGAUGUUGGAUCAAGACAUCCUAAUGGUGCAGCCGCUAUUAAGGGUUCGUUUGUUCAACGAUUAAAGUCCUACGUGAUCUGUUUUAACAAACGGGGA
rnacentral:rRNA from 1 species